rnacentral:rRNA from 1 species
UACGUAGGGUGCAAGCGUUGUCCGGAAUUAUUGGGCGUAAAGAGCUCGUAGGCGGUUUGUCGCGUCUGCUGUGAAAACCCGGGGCUUAACCCCGGGCCUGCAUUCGAUACGGGCAGACUCGAGUGUGGUAGGGGAGACUGGAACUCCUGGUGUAGCGGUGAAAUGCGCAGAUAUCAGGAAGAACACCGGUGGCGAAGGCGGGUCUCUGGGCCACUACUGACGCUGAGGAGCGAAAGCGUGGGGAGCGAACAGG